AUUGAACGCUGGCGGCAGGCCUAACACAUGCAAGUCGAGCGGGGUUUUCGGACCUAGCGGCGGACGGGUGAGUAAUGCGUAGGAAGCUACCCGAUAGAGGGGGAUACCAGUUGGAAACGACUGUUAAUACCGCAUAAUGUCUACGGACCAAAGUGUGGGACCUUCGGGCCACAUGCUAUCGGAUGCGCCUACGUGGGAUUAGCUAGUUGGUAGGGUAAUGGCUCACCAAGGCGACGAUCCCUAGCUGGUUUGAGAGGAUGAUCAGCCACACUGGAACUGAGACACGGUCCAGACUCCGACGGGAGGCAGCAGUGGGGAAUAUUGGACAAUGGGCGCAAGCCUGAUCCAGCCAUGCCGCGUGUGUGAAGAAGGCCUUCGGGUUGUAAAGCACUUUCAGUAGGGAGGAAGGGUGUUGUGUUAAUAGCACAGCAUUUUGACGUUACCUACAGAAGAAGCACCGGCUAACUCUGUGCCAGCCGCCGCCGUAAGAC
rnacentral:rRNA from 1 species